rnacentral:rRNA from 1 species
AUUGAACGCUGGCGGCAUGCUUUACACAUGCAAGUCGAACGAGUGGCGAACGGGUGAGUAAUAUAUCGGAACGUACCGAGUAAUGGGGGAUAACUACUGGAAACGGUAGCUAAUACCGCAUACCAUCAGAUGUGCCCAGAUGGGAUUAGCUAGUUGGUGGGGUAACGGCGUACCAAGGCGACGAUCCCUAGCUGGUCUGAGAGGAUGACCAGCCACACUGGAACUGAGACACGGUCCAGACUCCUACGGUAGGCAGCAGUGGGGAAGAUUGCAUGAGGGGCGCAGGCCUGAUGCAGCCAUGCCGCGUGUAUGAAGAAGGCCUUCGGGUUGUAAAGUACUUUCAGCGGGGAGGCGUUACCCGCAUAAUAAGCACCGGCUAACUCCGUGCCAGGAGCCGCGGUGAUAC